CUUUACAAUCGUUUCACUCAUGCAGUUAUGAGUUGUGACAACCAGCUUGAAGAUAUUACCUGUAGUCACAAACAUGUCAGCCAUUUCAUGUGGCUUGUAAACAUUGUUCCUGUUACUGUUCAAACAAUGAGGCCAUAUACAAAUACUAUCUGUGAUUGUGCUACUAAUUCUUGUUGCCACUUUCAGUGCUCCAUUGUGAGCUAAUGGUUUGUGGUUAGGUGUGAAUGUAAGCCCUGUUUCACAAUGUAUAAUUGAGUCACUGGCAGUGAUAUGGUGGUUGAGACGCAGGAUGGUAACAGUGGCAGAAGUCUUUUCCACUAACAUACCCCGUGGACGAUAUGAUACCUGGCUGGCAUCGACUCCCCCAACCUGGGACGGUUGACCAUCGGGCCUUCCUGGACUCUGAGCAGCGGAGGAGAGAUCUGGAUGUCAGUCUGGCUCAGGUCCAAAAUGCCCUGCAGGAACAGAGGGUCAGAAUGCUCCAGAGAAUGGGCCCAGGGAGCCGACAUAAACUACCCCAGAUACUUGUUUUGAAUCUUGGGCAGAUCAAUCGACCAGUAAACCUCCAUCCCAGUCUGUUAUCAGAGAACAUCUACAUCCCACCAUAUGGUGACCUUUACACAAGAGUGGGCAGGCUAGAGAUGGACUCAGAGAUCAUUAGCGCCCAACUGGACCAGGUUCUCUGUUCUAGGGGAAAGUGUCUCUACAGGAAUGGACCCUCACCCCAACAACACAGCUUGACUCUUUGUCAGAGGGAGGACCAUAGUAUGACCUCUCAGCUUAUUGCUCAAGCAGUAGACAAAGGACAACUUCUGAAAGAGCGAGACAACCUUGAGCGUCUGCUGGAGGAGUCCAGGGCCCAGCAGCAGCUGAUGGAGCAGAAGAGGGAGGCCCAGAUAGCAGCCCUUCACUCCCAGCUGUACCAGGCACGCUCCAGCCUCCAGGAGACCCACAGAGAGACACUGGCCACACAGGCAGAGCUACAUGGCAGCAAGCAGGUAGAAUCAUGGAAGACCAGACCAACUAAACUGGUACAGGAAUUUAGACCCAAAAUGGAUGCAGGCUGUUCCUUUGUACGUGUAAUCUUGCAGAGCCGGAUGUGUCCUUUGUACGUGUAA
rnacentral:lncRNA from 1 species